rnacentral:rRNA from 1 species
UACAGAGGUGGCAAGCGUUGUUCGGAAUUACUGGGCGUAAAGGGCGCGUAGGCGGUCUUGCAAGUCCUGUGUGAAAUCCCUCGGCUCAACUGAGGAACUGCACAGGAAACUGCUUGGCUUGAGUUCGGGAGAGGGAAGCGGAAUUCCGGGUGUAGCGGUGAAAUGCGUAGAUAUCCGGAGGAACACCGGUGGCGAAGGCGGCUUCCUGGACCGACACUGACGCUGAGGCGCGAAAGCUAGGGGAGCAAACAGG